rnacentral:ncRNA from 1 species
UUAUGUUUCUUAAUUUUAUAUAAAAUUGAUAGUGGUGAUAUUUGAUAAAUAACUAGAUUGAAAUGUUUGAUUUUGGCUUAGAUUCUUAUGUUAUAUUUGAAAUUGUAUGAAAAUUUAGGUAUGAAAAGAAAAUUUAAUUAUAUAUUAAUUUUACUGGUGUUAAUUAGAAACAACGAUGAAAAGUUUAAUCUCAGCAUAAAAUAUUACGCCAAUGUACAAAAGUGUGACGUAGUAGAUAUAAUAAAUCUGAUGAAUAUUUGUGCCAGCAUUCGCGGUUAUACUUUGAGGUUGAAUAAGAAUUUUAGGUGAUAGUUGAAUGUAUUAAUUUUAAAAUAUUAUAGAUAAUAGCAAGUGAAAUUGAUUAUUAAUAUUUAUAUUUGUGGAUAAAUUAAAUUUGAAGCUAAAAAGGUUUAAUAAAAAACUAGGAUUAGAUACCCUAUUAUUGAAAAGUGAAUAUAAAAUGCUUAAUUAGUUAUAGAUAAAUACUUAAAAUUUAAAAAAUUUGGCGGUAAUUUAAUCUUUUCAGAGGAACCUGUUUUUUAAUCGAUAAACCACGAAAAAUCUUACUUACUUUUGUUAUAAUAUCGGUUUGUAUACCAUCAUUAGCAAAUAAUUUUAAGAGAAUAAAUUAUUUAGGAUAAUAAAUUAUAAAAAUUAGAUCAUGGUGCAGCUUAUAAGUAAGGUAAAAUGGGUUACAAUAAAUCGUUUUAUUACGAAUUUAAUAAAAUAAAGUUAUUAUAAAGGAGGAUUUGAUUGUAUUGUGAGUUUAAUAAGCUUUUAAGAUAUAAGCUCUAAAUUAUGUACAUAUCGCCCGUCGCUUUCGUCUGUAAACGAAAUAAGUCGUAACAUAGUAGAUGUACUGGAAAGUGUAUCUAGAA